UCAUUCUCUUUCACUUCAAAAUUCAGGGACAGAUUUAUUUCAAGUAAGGGAGAAUGGUAUAGAAGAAUUAUGACUUGGGGUCAAGUGUUUUUGGCCAGGUGGGGUGACCUUAGAAUCAGCAAAACACGCCCAUGGGCCUGUGCCAGCAGCCAACACACUCUCUAGGGUAUGUAUCAAUCAGCAGGUAAAGAGUGGAGGCUGCAGAGCAUCACACGCCCUAGAGUGUGUGAUAGGAAGAACCACACGCCCAAAGGGUCUGUGACCUUCUGCUCCAGUGGCGAGAAUACAUUUUUUUU
rnacentral:misc_RNA from 1 species